UGGGCUAACACUCAUUUGUUAAUGGGCUAGGCUUAUAUGGAAGUCCAUGGAUGAUCCAUGGAGCUUUUAACCCAUGGAUCCUUGGAAAAGGAAAGGUCAUGGGUUAUUAGGGUUUCACCCUAACCAUGCACACUAUAUAAGCAUGCUUAUGGAGCAUGAAAUGGCAACUAGUGAACUAGUGUGUGUGUGCUUGUGUGUGGCCAAAAAUACAAGUGUGUAUACUCUCUCAAAGUUUUCCAAGAGUUUGUGGUGUUUUGUGAUUCCAUUUGAGGCAUUCACACUAUUGGUGCUUGGCCCUCAAACUCCUUAAGAACCAAACUCAUCAAAAAGGUAUGUAAUCUCUUCUAACUCUUUUAUGUUGAAAUGUUCCCCAUGCCAUGUUAGAUAGGUUAUGAACCUUGGAAAAUUAUUAUUUUGCAUGUAUUUAGACAAACAUAGAUCCAAGGUUUAUUAGGGUUGCAUGCACACUUAGGAAGUGUUAGAUUGCUCAAAACCCAACAGUGGUAUCAGAGCCUAGGCUUGCUUGUUUGAUACUUGAUGCAAAAUAGUGAAAAAAGUUGAAAUUGUUGCUGUCUGGCUGAUGGACUCGCCGAGUCCAUGGGGGGACUCGCCGAGUUCAAGGCAAAAUUCAUCCUACUCGGCGAGUAGGUUCGUGCACUCGGCGAGUAGAAUGAUCAGAAUGCAGAAUUUCGACUUUUGCUGCUGGAAAUGGACUAGAAACAUUACCCUAAACUGUUUUGGUGUUUUAAAACUUGUUUUAGUUGGUGUAAUGGUUGUUCUAAUCCAUUUACAAUAGCAUAUAUCAAAAUUCCAUGAUUUUUAUGUGUUCAUAUAAUUCUUGAAAUUUUGAUGAUCAUGUUCAUGUUCUUAUGAAUUUAGAAGAUGAUAGGAAUUAUUUGCUGAAUUGUUUAGAAUUAAUUCUUGAUCAUUUAUGUGUUUUAAUGGAGUCCAUAAUUUGUCCUCAAGUUAUGGAUAUCCAAAGGUCACUUUUCUUUAACACACACAUUUAAACACAUAAGUUACAUGAAAAUGAAGAGUCUUCAUUUUUAUGAACCUUUAAUUCAUAAGUUAUGAAAUGAAAAGUUUUGGAUAGUUACAAAACUUGCCCUCAAGUUUUGGAAUUUGAAAAGUUUCACACACUUUAAUAAACUUUAAUUCCAACACUUAGAGUUUUAAAAGUUAAAAUUCAACACUUAUACUAUUUAUAACAUUAAUGGUUAAUUAUUAUAUAUAUGUAUAAGAACAAGUCGUUUUACCGUUAGUAGGCCUCAUUCACGAAGCCGGUCUAUAAGGUGGGUAUAAGGUUGUUGCCUAUAAAAUGGCGACUUAAUGGGUGUCCACUCUCACCCACCGCUUGCUUGAUCGGUGGAGGGUCGUUAGCCGAACGGGUAGGACAAUGACUUUAAAUUCUCAUUAAAAGUAUAAUGAUUAUUAUAAAGUAACUAAAAAUUUUUUAUUUAAUUCCCAAUCUUAGUUACUUUAGGAAAAAUGUGAAUUUGGUGCUAGCCCAUGGAAUUCACACUUUGUACCUUACCAAGUCGUUGGUGGAGCGUGUGUGGUUAACCGGCACACUAACUUGGACUAGUAAGGAUCACGAAGGGUGACUUAAUGUUUGUCAUAGAUCAAUGGAGCGUGUGUGGUUAACCGGCACAUUGAUUAGGUGAUAAUAUUAAGGGUACCAAGUGAAUUGGUAUGGUUAUUCACACCUUGUUUUGUGAUCCUCGGCAUCCCAGUCACAAAAUUUGAGAGGGCACACUCGAGAUUGAAACAUGCCAUUGAAAAGUUCAAUGAAUCUCAAAAGAUCUAGGAAUUUCAAAUCCAAUUAAAACCUAAUAAAUUAUUUCGUUUUUCAUGGUGGAAAUUGGUGAAUCGUCAUUCGCCUACCUUCAAAUAUUUUAUAGCUUGGAUUACGGCAUCCCUCUUCCAAAUUAUAAAAUAUUGUGUUGGGUCCUAGCCUUAAUAUUUCAUAUUGGGUGUUAUAUUAAGGACUUUGAAUCAACUAACUUGAUUUUCUCCCAUUAUAGAUGUCUGGUUCAGACAACUAUGAUCUUCCCAAAUCUCUUGAAGAUGGUGUCCCUCAACAUCAUGCUUCACUUCCUCCACCUCCUCCAAUUAUUCUCCCUCACCCACAAGUUCUUGAAAAGUUUAAAGUCACUCAAUCCCUAUUGGCAAGCAUAGUCUAUGUGUGCUCACAUCUUGGAGAUAAAGUCACAUAUUGACAAGCCGGGAGAGUUGGGUGUCAAAGUCUCGUGAAAGUUGGAUGUUCAAUCACUUUCUUAGUAACAUAGUGAGUCUCUUUGGGACUACUAUGAGACAGACUAUGACAUGACCCUUAAUGAUGUUAUCUAUUUGCUUGGUGUUGUGGAAUCAGCAAUGAUUUGGAACACCAGUAAAGCAAAUUUGAUUAAAAGAACAACUUCCCAAGUCUUAAAUGGACAUUGACAAUGGUAGCAUUGGAUAUCUAGAAAAGGAUUUCUCUUCCCAAUGGAAAGGGAUCGGCCAUAGUCAACUCGGUUGACCAAAUGGUAAAGAGAAAGGCUAAGUCUGAGAUAGUCUCAUGUGCCAUUACCAAAGGGUCCAUGUGUUUUGUUGCCAAAGGAAGGGGCAUUGGUUGCGAAGCUGCCCUAUUCACCUGAAAGGUCAUAAGGUUGAUCAAGUCAAGAGGUUUGACUCUACUUCGGGUAAAGUCCACUGUCUAACUCUAUUAAGUUCCUAUUUGGAGAUUCUUAUUACAUAAUGUGAAUGGGUCACAUGCUGAUGUUUUUAAGAAUCAAAGAAAAGAUAGGAAGCUUAAAGUAAGUAUAUGUUGAUUCUGAUUGCGAAGGUGGGUUUCGAUCGCAUGGUUCGGUAAUCAGAAUUUUGAGCUGUUGCUUAAGAGUUAUAAUAUAUUGCUUAUGAAUAGAUAACAACAAGGUUUUCAUGUGGAUUGUAAGGAUAAGUUUUUCCGCAAAGUUUUAAAAAAAAAAAAAAAAAGGGUUUUAAUUUUAUUUAUUUUAAAAAUAUCCUUACAAUGGCAUCUGUGGAAAAUUGUUGCUUAUAUGUUUCCAGUAAUAGCAAUAUUGGAAAGUGGAUUUGAUUCUUUCAUUUGUGGUAGUGUCUGAAUUUACCAAAUGAAGAAAGUUUUUCAUCACCCAAGUUUCAAUUGGACAGAAACUUGGAAUCAUACAAGUUGUAUUGUAUGAUGAAUGAGAAUUUUCAUCUUUGAAAAUUAAGACUAAUUCUUUGAUCACAUGUAUAUGUGAGUCAAUUGAAGGACUAAGGAAUUAGGUACACUGGGUGUGCGCUGGUCAAGGUCCACCACAAAGAUUGAUUUGUCAUGAUUUACUAAAGAUUAGUAAAUAUGAUUAUACUUAUGAGGUUAAGUAUAAUUCUGUAACAUUGGAAAGGUUACAAUGUAUGACAAAACAAAUGAGAAGAAUCAAAUUAGGCAGAAAGAUAAAAGUUUCUCAAAUCUGAAAGGAUGGGAGAGUACUUUAGUAUCGUAUUUCAUGAUCAUCUUAAUGAUUAUGAAACCAUAUCACAAAUUCAUACUCUAAGGACGUCUUAGUGCAUUGUUAUGGCUAAGAAGAGAGGUCAUGAAUUGUUGGAUUGGUUAAAAUCAAGAAGAUGAGUCAUACUUCGUUCCAAAACAAUUCUUAGAGUCAUACUCCAAGAUUGUAACUUUGAGUGACAUAAAGGAAGAUUUAUUAACACUAGUCAAAUGUAAGAGUAAAAUGUUUUCUACUCUUGUACAUUUGAGAUUGGUAAGUUGUGAUGUCUUGGAUGAGACAAAGACCAACUAAGACCAAUUGUGUGAAGUGUUAGUCUUGAUAAGAAUCCGCACUAUCCCUUGAAUAUUUGUUUUGUCAAGGAAUGGUUCUUGACUGGGGAAACUUAUAUGUCAAGGGGACAGUGGGAGCCUUAAAGAUCCUGAAAGAGUUUCAAGAUUUAAUCAAGAGUAAAACCUGUAAUUUAUCACUAGCACACGACUUAAGGUUUGCAACCUAUCGUGUUGACAUAAUUCUUAUUUCUGUACCUACUUCAAAUAAGUUGAAUUUGCAUGUGAGUUAUCAGAGUUCAACUUGGAAGCAUUGGUGGGCCUUGUGCUACCAAGGUGACAAGAAACUAAGAUUGAACAAGUUUAAUCCAUGUAAGGCUGAAUUUGUCACUAACCUUAUCUUGUGAUUAUGGUUUUGACAAAUUCACAUGGAUAGGAACUCAUACACUAUAAAAUCUAAGUGUCAUAAGGUUUCUCUCCGAUUCAUGAAAAUGAUGGUGAGGAAACGCUUUCACUAAGUAGAUUUUACGUAGAUAUCAAUUGUGUUAUUUGCAUUUUCAAAAGUCGUUAGUGGAGCGCGUGUGGUUAACCGGCACACUAACAUGGACUUGUGAGAAAUGGCAAAUGCCUAAGCAAUUGAGACUAUGAUUACGGCAUCCCUUUUCAUAGUUCUGAAAAUUGUUUAGACACACAUGUGAGCUAUCUAAGAAAGGGUGUAUGAAUCUAAAUUUCAGAAGUCCAGCAGAUUUCUGGAAAUAUGUCAGAGCUAGUGGGAGCAUAAGUGUUAUGCUGAUAAUCAUCAUGUUAGUGGGAGCAUGAUUAUUACGUUUAGUGUUGCAAGUUAGCAAUGUUAAUUAUAGAAAACAAAGUUUCAAUUCGUGAAGUUGCAGGGGUUGAAAAGUUGUUUUGCUAUAAUUAAGGGAGAGGAAAUUAUACUUCAUUUCAAUUCUAAAGCUUAGAUUGAGAUUUUAAUCAUCUUUAGUCAAGAAUAUAUAUAUGAAUUUUAUGUUGGAAUGGUUCAACUUGAAGAAAUUCUAUAUAUAUUGCGUUUUCAAAAUUCGAUUAUGAUUACGGCAUCCCUCUUCAUAGUUAAAUUUUGAAAACAUGGCAAAUAAAAAAUAUUGUAGCAAAAGACUGGUCUAGUAUCAUGUCUUUAUGUCAAACAUCAUGAAUCGUGUCCCAUAUGCUUCGGAUAUAGGAUCGAUUGCAUGUGCUAUAAUAUUCAUCUUUUCUAAAUUUUCCAAAUGCUUAAGGCAUUGAGAAGGGAAAAGUCUAGAACUGGAUAUGACUAAAGUGAUUAAGCAAUUGUCGAGGACAAUCUGAGGUUCGCCAAAGAUUGGUUGCUCAGGGAAAGUUGGAAGUAUGAUGUAAGUUGUCGGAAAGGACCAUAUUGACAUAUUCUGAAAAGAAGUAACUCUUGUUCGGAAGUGAUAGUCAAAAUGGGACUAUGGAAAUGUCUCCAUAGGUGGAAGUUAUUCAAUCUAUGUAAGAUUAGAAAACCUUAAUGCAAGAAGGAUGUUCAAAGCAAUGUACUUUGAAUAUGAGACUUCCGUUCCAUAGAAGUUGACCUUCUUUGGAAUACUCUGUAAUGACUGGUGACAAGGUUUUGGUGACUUUGUGCAUAAUCAUUACAAGAGGAACAUUGCAUAAAAGUUUAAAAUCUAACAGAUUUUUUGGUAAAUGAUAGGAAUCGGGGAUUCUCACAUUUACAAUAAGGAUUUGGGAUUGUGAAAUGAGUAUCAUUGGAAUCAUGUUCAAUUGAUCUACAUCACAAUGUAAGGAUCAUAGACAAACAUAGUGUGCAUACUUGGAGUAUGGCAUAACUAUUGUUUAGAAAAACAAAGUGUACAUGCUAGGAGCAUGGGACGACUGUUGUUUUUAUUCAAGUCUUAAGUUGAUUGUUUGAAACAUUAUACAAUGAAUAAUGUGUAAUCAAUAUGGUGAUAAAUAAAAGGUGGUUCUAUUUAUAUUCAAAAGGGUUCUGAGACCAUAUUGGAUUCGAUUAUUAUUGUGUUUCACUUUGCAUGUUUUGACUUCCAAAAUAGCUAGGUUAUUCUUUCCGAAUGACUAAGUUAUUUAAACACUCCACAGUCGUUCAUAUGUUGGAAGUAGGUAUGAAUCAAGAUUGUCAUGAAUCAAGUUUGUAGAUGGCUAAAUGGGUUUAGUCAUAGCAAUGGUUGCUACAACAUUCAUGAGUGCUCGUAAGUUAUGAGCAUCGGAAUAAACCCACGCUUAAUUGUAUCACUUCAUGGAAUUUAUCUCGAGUGAUCGUGAGACGGUAAUAUCAUGUAAAUCUUCAAACCUAGAGAUAUGAGUUGUUACCUAUGAGUUGGUUGUGCAUUGAUUGCACGUAAACGCAUCAGUAACUUGAUGUUAUAAAACGUGCCUUUGUGUACAAUUCAACAAGUAGUAGAACAAGCAUAUGAGUCGAAGUUUAUCUGUUCCUUCUAGAAAUAGAAGCGAUAUCUGGGCCCCUCGAUGAUUUUGUUGUGACCUAUGUACCGGCCGGUCAGAACUAAAUUGAUGUGUUCGAUUAAGUUCUUUGUCAAACAAAUCGAAAAUCGGGAAACAAACUGCUGGACAAUAAGUACGACGUUGUUCCAUGUAUUUGUCCGGCUGAUAUCAUGAGAACAGAGGAUUAUAUGAUCACUUAUCUAAAAUGGCGCUUCAUAGUUCAACAGAGUUUUCGAGAGCUACGAUUGCUGGUUGGUUCCUGAAGUAACAUACGCAAAUAUAGUUAUUAGACUUAUCCAAGUGGGAAACUGUUGGAUAAGGUGUCUAAGUCCAUAACUUAUUUGGUAUAUACUUGACCCGACCCGGCAUGGUCCAUUUGGGUUGCAUCUCACCCGAACUAUUUAUGGAUAAUUUUAUGAGAGUUAUACACAUAUGUUUAUUAAUAUAUUAUAAGUUAUAAUAUAUUAAUAUGAAGUGAUGUUAUUUAAUUAGUCUUAGUCUUAAAUUAAUUAUGAAUUAAUUUAGAGAUUAAAAGGAAGACUAAUUAGAUUGUGGGCUAUUGGUUUUAUAUGGUGUGGGCUAACACUCAUUAGUUAAUGGGCUAGGCUUGUAUGGAAGUCCAUGGAUGAUCCAUGGAGCUUUUAACCCAUGGAUCCUUGGAAAAGGAAAGGUCAUGGGUUAUUAGGGUUUCACCUUAAUCAUGUACACUAUAUAAGCAUGCUUAUGUUGCAUGAAAUAGCCACUAGUGGCACUAGUUGUGUGAGACUUUGUGUGUGGCCGAUUUUAUAGUGUGUAUACACUCUCUCAAAGUUUUCCAAGAGU
rnacentral:lncRNA from 1 species